rnacentral:rRNA from 1 species
AUGAACGCUGGCGGCGUGCCUAAUACAUGCAAGUCGAGCGAACAGACGAGGAGCUUGCUCCUCUGACGUUAGCGGCGGACGGGUGAGUAACACGUGGAUAACCUACCUAUAAGACUGGGAUAACUUCGGGAAACCGGAGCUAAUACCGGAUAAUAUAUUGAACCGCAUGGUUCAAUAGCUAAAGACGGUUUUGCUGUCACUUAUAGAUGGAUCCGCGCCGCAUUAGCUAGUUGGUAAGGUAACGGCUUACCAAGGCAACGAUGCGUAGCCGACCUGAGAGGGUGAUCGGCCACACUGGAACUGAGACACGGUCCAGACUCCUACGGGAGGCAGCAGUAGGGAAUCUUCCGCAAUGGGCGAAAGCCUGACGGAGCAACGCCGCGUGAGUGAUGAAGGUCUUCGGAUCGUAAAACUCUGUUAUUAGGGAAGAACAAAUGUGUAAGUAACUAUGCACGUCUUGACGGUACCUAAUCAGAAAGCCACGGCUAACUACGUG